rnacentral:lncRNA from 1 species
GCAUGUUCUUGUCUUUAACCCCAAAAAUAGAGGGUUUAGCCGAUAAUAUUAAUAAUCACAAUCCAAAUUAUUGAAUACAUGAUAUAAAGAAUUAAAAGCUAAAUAAAAUAAUUAAAACCUAAUAAAAGUUGUAGCAGCCACCAAAAAUAAUUUCACAAUCUCCACUGUAUUCGUCCCUUCGUGUUCAGGGGUCUAAGAUAAUUGCAAAAUUGUGUAUUUAUAAUAAAAUAAUCCCACUCUUUGUGGGAUUAGAAAAGAUUCCCACCAAGUGCCUUAAAUUGCGUGCCAUGCAUGUGAAUUCAAAUUAGGACAAAGUCCUGUAUCGGCACUGACUUUAAUAUGCACAUUUAAUUAAAGUGACGCAACAAAUUGCUGGAAUGACAACAAUGGUAAUAUCGAUGUGAUGCGUCAACUUCACGUCGACGCACUAAAAUUUACUUUUAAAAUUUUGAUUAAGUGUUGGACGUCCUAUCCUUUGCCCAUGCCUUUUGUAGUGUAUUUCCAAUGCAUUUUUUGACCUUUCAAUCAUCAAUAUAUCACCAUUUUCAGCUCACAAAGCCUCC